AACGUAGGGGGCGAGCGUUGUCCGGAAUUACUGGGCGUAAAGGGCGCGUAGGCGGUUAUAUAAGUCAAAGGUGAAAACUCCGGGCUUAACCCGGAGCCUGCCUUUGAAACUGUAUGACUUGAGGGCAGGAGAGGGGAGUGGAAUUCCCAGUGUAGCGGUGAAAUGCGUAGAUAUUGGGAGGAACACCAGUGGCGAAGGCGACUCUCUGGCCUAACCCUGACGCUGAGGCGCGAAAGCGUGGGGAGCAAACGGGAUUAGAUACCCCCGUAGUCC
rnacentral:rRNA from 1 species